CCACAAUAAGGUCUCCCUGGAACAUUCUCUUCUCCAAGCUUCUUCCUUCCUUCUUUCUUCCUUCCUGCAAGCUUCUUCUUCUUUCUUCUCCAAGAAUGCAAAGGGAGUUCAGAGAAGCUACCCAGGGCAUGGAAUGUUUGAGCCUGAUGGUGAAAUGUAGAUAUUGAAAUAAGAGGACAAAGGCUUUCUCAACACAGCAUGCAAACCUGGGCCAAAAAGCACCAAGUUUUUUAUUCACAGGAAUCAGAUUUGUGGAUCUGGAUUAGUUCUGGAACAGAGAUACAAUCCUGGAACCUCAAUACAGAUCAACAUCUGUUGCUAGUGACAUUGAAGCUCAUGUUGCGUAUUGGCUGGUGAAAGAGAACAAAGCGAAGUGUCUGCUCUACGUUCUGGAUCCUGUCCAUCUUGCUUCACCAUAUGGAGUGAUAAUGGGCUCUGCUAUUCAGAUCUUAUUUUGUUCUUUGAGAAAUAUGUAAAGGAUGGUAUUUAUUAAAUUCAGUGGAAAGUGUCAAGAACAAGGCUAAGUAUUCUGCAAACUGAGCUUCCUUCAGUGCCUGAACAUCUCUGUAGCUGACUUUCUGGAAGAUUAGGCUCAGCAGCUGUCUGCAUCACACAGUUCUUUAUCCCACAGUUUAAGCUUUUCACAGCCAGCCAAACCAUAAGUUUCUUCAUACUGCCUUGUAAUUUUGCUUGGUAAAAGAAAAGUUUAUUUCCCAUUUUCCAGACACAGCCUGGUGAAUUAUUAAUUAGGUCAAUGGUUUCAGCUUGGGGUCUGGGCUGAUAGAUAUAGAGGUCUAGACUCACAUCUGUUCCAAACUGGGGACAGACAGCACAAUUUAACAGCUUAUGGUUAGAAUGAAAAG
ensembl:lncRNA